rnacentral:rRNA from 1 species
UACAGAGGUCUCAAGCGUUGUUCGGAUUCAUUGGGCGUAAAGGGCGCGUAGGUGGCGGGGUAAGUCAGGUGUGAAAUCUCGGGGCUCAACCCCGAAACUGCACUUGAUACUGCCUUGCUCGAGUACUGGAGAGGAGAUUGGAAUUUACGGUGUAGCAGUGAAAUGCGUAGAUAUCGUAAGGAAGACCAGUGGCGAAGGCGAAUCUCUGGACAGUUACUGACACUGAGGCACGAAAGCUAGGGGAGCAAACAGG